rnacentral:rRNA from 1 species
GGAUUAGAUACCCGGGUAGUCCACGCCGUAAACGGUGGGUACUAGGUGUGGGUUUCCUUCCUUGGGAUCCGUGCCGUAGCUAACGCAUUAAGUACCCCGCCUGGGGAGUACGGCCGCAAGGCUAAAACUCAAAGAAAUUGACGGGGGCCCGCACAAGCGGCGGAGCAUGUGGAUUAAUUCGAUGCAACGCGAAGAACCUUACCUGGGUUUGACAUGCACAGGACGCCGGCAGAGAUGUCGGUUCCCUUGUGGCCUGUGUGCAGGUGGUGCAUGGCUGUCGUCAGCUCGUGUCGUGAGAUGUUGGGUUAAGUCCCGCAACGAGCGCAACCCUUGUCUCAUGUUGCCAGCGGGUAAUGCCGGGGACUCGUGAGAGACUGCCGGGGUCAACUCGGAG